GUGACCCGAUGACGACCCGACUAAUUAUCAUGUUGACUCAAAACCUAUUAUUUUCUUGUCGUGUUAACAUGUUGUGUAAGAAAUUGUCAGUUCUAACAAUGGGGGAGAUAAUACCCCUUAGAAUUCACCCAAUUUUCUCUACACAUUGCCGCACCAUACCUAUCAAUCUCUUUAUAAUUCUUCAAUCAACUAGCCCUACUCUUCGAGGGGAGUGAUAUGUUUUAAUCAUUCUUUCGAUGAUUAACUUAUUAUUUUAUUGUGAUAUAUUAUUAAAUUAAUUUAUAUGUUAUUGAUUCAAUUUAACUUUUAUGUGUUGAACAUAAUACAACGCAUUGGAAAUGAAAUUCCGGCUUUCCGAGACGAAUCAUCUACAAAUUCAAAGGCUUAAUUUGUUUCUACCAGUCAGGUUCUCUGUUAGAUAUUUUCAACGACCAUGAUGCAUGAAAACAUUCUCCAUGAUGCAUGAACUCCCUACACUUAUAUUUACCUCAUAUAUAUACAUAUAUAUAUAUAUAUAUAUGUGCGUAUGUUCAUGCAUAAUGCAAUUUAUAAAAUCGCUAAGUGGAAUUUUUGAGUCAAAGAAUCAAAAGAAAAUAGAAGCAAUUAGGGUUUACGCUCGUUUGUUCUCAUGAAUGCCGAAAACAGUCCAAAUACACUCCAAAGAGAAAAACUAUGUAUUUUUUGACACCCAAUAAGCUUUUGAUCUUUUGAGUAUUCAUUCUUAUGAUCCUAGUAGCGUAUUAUAUGUGUUUAUUAGCAUAAAUUCUAAGGGGUGUCAAACGCCUCGUUUGAUCACAUAAAUGUUGAAAACAGUCUAAAUACAUAUAAUACGCUACAAGACUAUAAGAAUAAAUA
rnacentral:lncRNA from 1 species